rnacentral:lncRNA from 13 species
UAGAGUGAAAGAAGAUUAAUACAAGUUUUCUACAGUCAAGAUGUUUGCUCAGUUUGAAAGUGUCAACGGUCCUAUGACGCGGGAAUCCGCGAUCGAAAAUGAAGUACCGCUACCAUAUGUCGAUAAUGAUAUUGUCAUUACGGGAAUAUCAGGUCGUCUGCCUGAAUCAGCUAAUAUCGACGAAUUCAAAAAAAA